rnacentral:rRNA from 1 species
GACGAACGCUGGCGGCGUGCUUAACACAUGCAAGUCGAACGCUGAAGCUCAGCUUGCUGGGUGGAUGAGUGGCGAACGGGUGAGUAACACGUGAGUAACCUGCCCUCUUCUUUGGGAUAACGCCCGGAAACGGGUGCUAAUACUGGAUAUUCACUGAUUCUCGCAUGGGGGUUGGUGGAAAGGUUUUUUCUGGUGGGGGAUGGGCUCGCGGCCUAUCAGCUUGUUGGUGGGGUGAUGGCCUACCAAGGCUUUGACGGGUAGCCGGCCUGAGAGGGUGACCGGUCACAUUGGGACUGGGAUACGGCCCAGACUGCUACGGGAGGCAGCAGUGGGGAAUAUUGCACAAUGGGCGAAAGCCUGAUGCAGCGACGCCGCGUGAGGGAUGGAGGCCUUCGGGUUGUAAACCUCUUUCGCUCAUGGUCAAGCCGCAGCUUUGGGUUGUGGUGAGGGUAGUGGGUAAAGAAGCGCCGGCUAACUACGUG